CAUCGAUGAAGAACGCAGCCAGCUGCGAUACGUAGUGUGAAUUGCAGAAUUCAGUGAAUCAUCGAAUCUUUGAACGCAAAUGGCGCUCUUGGUUAUAUCGGGAGCAUGUCUGUCUGAGUGUUGGUUAAAAACGAGAAACGAACGCGUUUUCGCGCGUUCGAUUCGAUUGAGGCGUCGCGUUCGAUUGUAAGAUGACAACGCGUCCCUCGAAGUGCAGCACGCGCUCAACACGUCGCCGCGUGAGCAAGGCCUAAAUUGCAAUUUUAAACCUUGCAAUCGUUGGCAUUCGUUGGCGCGCGUCUUUCAUAAUCCCUUAACCUCAGAUCAGGCAAGAUUACCCGCUGAAUUUAAGCAUAUUACUAAGCGGAGGAAAAGAAACUAACAAGGAUUCCCCCGGUAAUGGCGAAUGAGUUGCUAUUUUGGGCGAUUCUAUGCUUAAACAAAUAAACGCG